rnacentral:lncRNA from 1 species
ACCAUGACCUGCCACGUGGAGUCUGUUGCGGGGAGUGGAGCGGCAUCCGUUGUCGUGACUUGCCAGAGAGUGGAGGAGCCGCACGGUAUCCAUCGCAGGAAGUGGAGCAGAGUCGUGGCCAUUAUUGUGGUCUGCCAGGGAGUGAUGGAGCCACACGAAAUCCAUCGCAGGAAGUGGAGCAGAGUCGUGGCCGUUACUAUGGCCUGUCAGGGAGUGAUGGAGCCACACGGAAUCCAUCAUAGGAAGUGGAGCAGAGUCGUGGCCGUUACUAUGGCCUGCCAGGGAGUGAUGGAGCUGUGCAGAAUCCAUGC